UACAGAGGUCCCAAGCGUUGUUCGGAUUCACUGGGCGUAAAGGGUGCGUAGGUGGGCAGGUAAGUCAGUGGUGAAAUCUCCGAGCUUAACUCGGAAACUGCCAUUGAUACUAUCUGUCUUGAAUUAUCUGGAGGUGAGCGGAAUAUGUCAUGUAGCGGUGAAAUGCUUAGAUAUGACAUAGAACACCAAUUGCGAAGGCAGCUCACUACGGAUAUAUUGACACUGAGGCACGAAAGCGUGGGGAUCAAACAGG
rnacentral:rRNA from 1 species